rnacentral:lncRNA from 1 species
UCUGAUUUUCAUGGCUACAAUGACAGGUUCUAGAUGCACCAGCACUUCAAGAUGACUUCUACUUGAACCUAGUUGAUUGGUCCUCUCAGAAUGUUCUCCGUUUUGGGGCACGACACUUCCCUCUCUAACGAGGUUUCCACCCCUCCUAAACCCCCUAGGAAAGUGCCCAAGACACCCCACAAGGUAUAUACAUACAUAUGCUCUGUUUUUUUAUUCAAUUCACUGAUGACUAGAAAUAAUCAACUAGACUUAGCUUGAGAGUUUGGUCAAGGGAUUACCUUAUCUUUUGCCCUACUGUUGAAAACCCAUUAUGUUGCUUGGAUUGUAAGGUGGACUCAACUCAAUGUUUGUCAAAAGAGUUUAUCUGAUUUUCAUGGCUACAAUGACAGGUUCUGGAUGCACCAGCACUUCAAGAUGACUUCUACUUGAACCUAGUUGAUUGGUCCUCUCAGAAUGUUCUUGCUGUUGGGCUAGGAACAUGUGUUUAUUUAUGGACAGCUUCAAAUAGUAGAGUGCGUAUCUAGCUUGGGAAAUACCUUUUCUACUUAUAUCAUAGUAAUUAACAACUAUCUGAAACUUUCAGAAUAUGAAUAUUUGUUGUCAAGGUG